AUUCUAGAGUUAAUACAUGCUGAAAACCCUGACUUCGGAAAGGGUGUAUUUAUUAGAUAAAAAACCAAUGCCCUUUGGGCUCUUUGGUGAUUCAUGAUAACUUAACGGAUCGCAUGGCCUUGCGCCGGCGACGGUUCAUUCAAAUUUCUGCCCUAUCAACUUUCGAUGGUAAGGUAUUGGCUUACCAUGGUCUCAACGGGUAACGGGGAAUUAGGGUUCGAUUCCGGAGAGGGAGCCUGAGAAACGGCUACCACAUCCAAGGAAGGCAGCAGGCGCGCAAAUUACCCAAUCCCGACACGGGGAGGUAGUGACAAUAAAUACUGAUACAGGGCUCUUUUGGGUCUUGUAAUCGGAAUGAGUACAAUUUAAACCUCUUAACGAGGAACAAUUGGAGGGCAAGUUUGGUGCCAGCAGCCGCGGUAAUUCCAGCUCCAAUAGCGUAUAUUAAAGUUGUUGCAGUUAAAAAGCUCGUAGUUGAAUCUUGGGCCUGGCUGGCCGGUCCGCCUCACCGCGUGUACUGGUCUGGCCGGGCCUUUCCUUCUGGAGAACCUCAUGCCCUUCAGUGGGUGUGUUGGGGAACCAGGACUUUUACUUUGAAAAAAUUAGAGUGUUCAAAGCAGGCCUUUGCUCGAAUACGUUAGCAUGGAAUAAUAGAAUAGGACGUGCGGUCCUAUUUUGUUGGUUUCUAGGACCGCCGUAAUGAUUAAUAGGGAUAGUCGGGGGCAUCAGUAUUCAAUUGUCAGAGGUGAAAUUCUUGGAUUUAUUGAAGACUAACUACUGCGAAAGCAUUUGCCAAGGAUGUUUUCAUUAAUCAGUGAACGAAAGUUAGGGGAUCGAAGACGAUCAGAUACUGUCGUA
rnacentral:rRNA from 1 species